CCUACGGGAGGCAGCAGUGAGGAAUAUUGGUCAAUGGGCUUACGCCUGAACCAGCCAAGUCGCGUGAGGGAAGACUGCCCUAUGGGUUGUAAACCUCUUUUGUCAGGGAGCAACGCCGGCUACGUGUAGCCGGACUGAGAGUACCUGACGAAAAAGCAUCGGCUAACUCCGUGCCAGCAUCCGCGGUAAUACGGAGGAUGCGAGCGUUAUCAGGAUUUCUUGGGGUUAAAGGGUGCGUAGGCGGAAUGCCAAGUCAGCGGUAAAAUCGCGGGGCUCAACCUCGCUCCGCCGUUGACACGGGCGUUCUUGAGGGGGCGAGAAGUAUGCGGAAUGCGUGGUGUAGCGGUGAAAUGCAUAGAUAGCACGCAGAACUCCGAUUGCGAAGGCAGCAUACCGGCGCCCAACUGACGCUGAAGCACGAAAGCGUGGGUAUCGAACAGGAUUAGAUACCCGAGUAGUC
rnacentral:rRNA from 1 species